rnacentral:snRNA from 1 species
AGCUUUGUGCAGUGGCAGUAUUGUAGCCAAUGAGGUUUACCGAGGCGCGAUUAUUGCUAAUUAAAAUGCAAAAACUAUAAAUCUUUUCAUAGACUAAUAAGAUACAUCACCAUAUUUUCAUUAAUAUUUUUGUGUGGCUGUCUUAGGA